UACGUAGGGUGCGAGCGUUAAUCGGAAUUACUGGGCGUAAAGCGUGCGCAGGCGGCUUUGAAAGACAGAUGUGAAAUCCCCGGGCUCAACCUGGGAACCGCAUUUGUGACUGCAAGGCUAGAGUACGGCAGAGGGGGAUGGAAUUCCGCGUGUAGCAGUGAAAUGCGUAGAUAUGCGGAGGAACACCAAUGGCGAAGGCAAUCCCCUGGGCCUGUACUGACGCUCAUGCACGAAAGCGUGGGGAGCAAACAGG
rnacentral:rRNA from 1 species